rnacentral:misc_RNA from 1 species
GAGCUCACGUGAUGGAUAUGGCGGAGAGAGCACCUGACAGCAUCUGUUUAUGUCAUUUGUAAUCAGCCCUUUGCAAGCAGUGCAAGCUUCAGUAUAACCACCAGACCCGGUGUCAUAACCACGGCUUAGAGGUUAUUCAACAUGUCAACAGUUCAGUAUCAUCAGACGUGGCUAGUGGACUUUUUCCACUCGUUUCCACACAUAGAUUUGACGUUUCAAUACACAAACUCGACUUUCGACCCUGAAAGACCAACAUAUAGAGAGGCGCUGAUAUUUUUUGCAGCCCUGCCAGUGUUGUGGUGUUUAAUCUCCCUGCUGCUGUUCUCUUGUUACUAUGUAGUUCAGUGUUGCAAAGACAAACCAAAGAAGCGACGCAAGACAGGCUGUCUGAAGGUCUUCAUUGGUCUCAUGGUCACCCUCGGAUGUGUUGCACUAGCAUUUGGUUUCUAUGGUAAUGAGGAGACACAUGAUGGUGUAGAUGACCUUGCUGAUUCACUGGCAGAUACGAACCAGACACUGCAGAAUGCUAAACAUACACUGACUGUGCUGGACAGGCUGGCUGACCAGAUCUCCAAGCGUGGUGUGCAGGCACUAGAGAAUGUCACUGACACUAUAGGAAACCAAACAGUCUCGCAUUCCAUUCACAGCCUGAUUCAGACCAUCAUUGACAAAUCAGCCGAAUUCCGCACAGACAUAAAGGUUUUACAAAAUGACACAGGUGGCUUUGAUCUUCAUGUCAUCAAACAGGAGAUUGACUUCAUAGAAUUUUACAGAUGGCUUGCAACAUUGAUUCUCAAUACAUUAUUUGUGUUCCUGAAUCUGUUGUUCCUUAUUGGCAUUGCUAAGUCAUCCAAGUGUGUUCUUGUGACAGCAGCCGUGGGCAGUCUUUGUUGCCUUAUUUUCAUGUGGGGAGCUUCUGGAUUCUACAUAGGUGUUUCAAUGGCAACAGGAGAUCUGUGUUCUGAUCCUGACUUAUUUGUCCAGAGAACGGUAUCUGGUACUGUCAAGAAAGAUGUGCUUCAAGCAUACUUGACUUGUACAGAUAACAACAAGCCAUUCACAGAGAGCAUUGUCAAAGCCAAUGAAGCUGUUGCCCAGGCCACAUCAGCACUCAACAAGACUGUCGCCCUUGCCAAGCCAUACAACAUCUCAAAUAAGAUUCGCAAGCCAGUUGCCUACCUGCGUCAGGAGCUGAAAUAUGUUGUGAGUAACCUGACUGCACUGAAUGACGUUGUUAACUGUGAGCACAUCCACAACAACUAUGUGAAGUCUGUCAACGGCAUCUGUGACAAAGCAAUGAUUGGUUUGGCAUUCAUGUGCUUGAUGUCUCUGAUCGUGGGCCUCACCGUCACGUUUGCCAUAGCAUUUGCAUCACGCACAUGGCCACACUUUGGCAAAAGGCGUGGCUACUAUCCUGUGGAUGAUACUGAUCCUUUCCUGCCACGCCCCCCACCAUAUGAGAGCUACGGCACGAUGCGGAGUUACGAGAGGGAAGGAGGAAAUAGUGUCCCAAGCCUCAGUCGGCGAAGUGUAGGUAGUGAGCAAGGAUCUCGACCAUUUUGGAUAGAGGAUACCACUGCAAAAAGUGUUAAUGAAGAAUCUGGUGCAACCUUGAACUUGCCAAUGGGUGAAUCACCUCCUCCCGCAGACUUUCAGUACCAUCCUGGGAGGUAUAGCAGUAUGCAGCAGUACAAUAACCUGGCCCCCAACCCCGGGGCCAUGCAGGGAUCCAGUGAAACAUGAGGCAGCCAGGGAAGAACGGAUCACAUGACCACCAGCAGAAAUGAGCACUGACUCAUUUGAUUGAAUGAUUUUAUUGUCAGAUAUAUUUUUAGCUCAGAACUGUAGUCAUUACAUUUUGUAUAUUGAUGUACAUCCUUUUAAACUUUUUAUUCAAUAGAUUGAGUUUACACUGGAACUAUUUUAGUUAAUGUCCUCACAUAUGUGACAAAGUUUCUUUAUUCCUUCGCUCCAUUUGCCCUUAAACAUGUUUAGACAUGUUUCUGGUUUACCCAACAUUGUGUAAUGUAGAUGUAGUUUAUGAUGGAAGAUGAGAGUGAAACCUCAUCGGAAGGUGAGAGUAUCUGGGGCUGCCCAGAUUUAUGAGAUUGUUACCUACUGCUGACCUGAAGACACCAAAUACUGAAUUCUGCUCAUAACUUGCUCAUUCAUGUAGAAGUGCCGGGGACCAGUGAUUGUAUCGCCCAUAUCUAACUGGGGCUGAAGGGAUUCACCAAUAUUUCCAGUUCACUUCACUACUUCAGCAUCUCUAAUUCUCAAUACUCACCUGAAGUUCUCAUGUAAUGGUGCUGAAAUAACAUGAUCAUAUGAUUUCAAAAAAUGAUUUGUUAAAGAGAGCUACAUAGCUUUUACUGGGAAUAGUGUAAUAGAAUAUAGUAUUUUUACAGAUGUCAGAUUGUGACCUUGGUGAGUCGUUUCAACCAAAAGUAUAUCACUGUAUCCAUGGGUGGUUGGAUUUGGUCCAUGUAUCUACCUGCCGGGUACCAGUCAUGAAUACUUCAUUUAUAAAUAACUGAAAGUUACUAUUGACAAUAGGUGCUUACAAAGUUGACAAAUCAUUACGAGUGAAACAAGUGAACACCGGUUAUGUACCUUUAAGACAAGGUACUAUCUGACUCCAUGAAUUAUGUGGAGAGAAAGUUCACAGACAUGAAAUACAGCACCCUAUAUUUAAUAGCUCAAUCUAAGAAUGUGUCUUUGAGAAGAACUGUAUCUACCUGCACCUGCUGUACCUAUAGUACAUGGCGCCACCAGGUGUGUGAUAAAGAAGAGCUGUAUCUACCUACAUCUGAUGUACCUGCAGUUCUUGGUGCCAAGCAGGUGUGUGUUGAAGAGGAACCGUAUCUAUUUACCUCUGAUGUACCUGCAGUUCUUGGCGCCAGGCAGGUGUGUGUUAAAGAGGAACCGUAUCUACCUACAUCUGAUGUACUUACAGUACUUAACAGACUCAUCAGCCGUAAUUGUCUUCAUUUCUUCAUCAAGUUCACAUAACUGACAAUGACCCAAACAUGACAUCCCAUUAAUAAGUCAAUCUUUGUUUCCUCAAACAACUAUCCCCUAAAUAUCUACCGUCACCACCAGUAUGAAUGUGUUAAUUGAUAAAGUGAUGACAGUAGUGAUUUUAAGAUUAUUGUCUUUGAAGAUUUUAAGACUUUGAAUGUGAGGAAAAUGUGAUGAAGAUAAACAGAACUCAAAACAUGACUGAUGGAAAUGUCAGUGACUAAAUCAUGUACCAGUAUUGAAUAUGAUGAUGCUCAUCGCACAAAUUUUGAAAUGAAAAAAUGGAGUUCCCGGUUCAUAGAAGGAAGUAGCAGGUUCAUUAAAUGGAAUACCUGGUUCAUAGGAGAAACUACCAGGUUAAUGUCAGAUGCAUGCCAUGUCCAGUUUAAGGUGACCUUUCUCCUGUUUGUACAUUUGAUUCUUCAACAAAGAAGAUAUUUGAUGAGGGUUAGACCUAGACACUAGUCUUCAGACAAGUGAAAAUCAGGAAGGACCACUUCUUGAUGCCCAAGAUCUAUUUACAAGAUAUCUGCCUUGAGCCGUGAUGACAUGGUUAGCUCCACACUGACUCCUAUUGACUAAUGGUUGUUAGUAUCUGCUGAGAUAUUUCAAGUUAGAAGUAGGAGAUAAAUAUGUAAAUAUCCUCCAUCAGCAUUGCUGGAAAGUGGAAUCUUCCAUCUUAUUUCAUCAUGAAGAGGUUCGAGACAAUCCUUGCAUAUCCACAACCCUGCUUCAGCAUUGAUGGAAUCACCUCAAAGUGUACUCUUCCAUUUUUACCAUGUCUGUAUGUCCAUAGACUUUUCCUUUUAUUCUUCAUCCUCAGAACAUGCUGCUUGUGCUACUGCUCUCUUGUACUUACACUGAUGAUAUCCAAAGAUGACUGUUGUCCAGUUGAUUGUUGAAAUGGUGUCUUGUGUUGUGUAUAUAAAACUUGCUCACUCUGUAUAUAGGGUGUUGAGAUCUGGGACAUAGUGUCACACAGGAUUGGCUGUUUCCUUUGGACGAUGGUUCAUCAGCGUGACAUAUUGAAAACAUAAAAGAUUUGGAGUAGUUUGCACCUGUUCUAAUAGGAGCCACUAACCUAUAUGCAAAUGAGUUUGAUAAGCGUCCUCUAUAACGACAGAACAUUUACAUAACAGUGCAUAGUUUACAUGUGUUCAUUACAGAGUUUGUACAGAAAACAGGUACUUAGAAGGGAUGUCUUGUAUCUCUAUCCAAAUUUGUUUAGUUCCAUUGAUAUUUGAAUGACACUUGUUGAUUACCAGUGCCACUCAAUUGUACAUGGUGGUGAGUUGGACAAGAGCAUGGGAUGUGUGCCCAAGGCUGUGAUUGUCAAGUGAAGAGAAGACUGAAGUCAUCACAUCAUCGAAUGAUGAUUGUUGUGAAUUUGUCUAUUUCUGCCAUUGUUAAUAUGCACAAGUACAUGAAGUUACAUUUGUUGUUCGGAUCAGUCAAAGCUGUUGUCUCAUCUUUCAUACUUAUUUUUUCGGUAUUCUGUCCUUUCUCCUUGGUUUGCUUUGACAUUUCACAUGACACUUAGCUCUCCUCCUGCAUGAAACAGACAUGUCAUAGUAUUACUGAAGUACUGAUGCAAUUGGUCUUAAACCAAAGUCAAACCUGUAUUUCAUCCACAGUUGGUUGUAGGAAAGCAGCUUCAGUUACAAGUAUACCCCACUUUUCUUGAGUUAGGUUCACCAGAGAGGUGAGUGUCUUUGACCAGUGCCACUCUACGCUCAUCUGCCACACUGAUGUGCAAGUAUAAAACUGAGAUACUGAUCAAACUGAAACCAAACUCUACUAGGAUCUGAACCAAGAUAUUUCUGUUAUAAUGAUUUUAAUGUGCAACAUCAUGCUCAAGUGAUGGCACUUACAAUAGAAUUGCAGUCUGAUAGCUUACCAAUAUUCCUUCCAACCAUACAGAGAUACACUCACGAAAUAUGCCAGACUGACACACUUUGCAUGGAAAGUUUUCUCUACCUGGAAAGUUUUCUCUACCCUUUUAUUUACAUACAUUGGCUCAAUGACAACUCUGCAUUCUAAUUGUAGGUGAAAUAUUCAGUUUCUGUAGAAUUAAAUGGCAAUGGGACAUCAAUCCCUUUAACAUCAGCUUCUCAAAGAUUGUUGCGUUGACUUCUAAUUUCUUAUGGAGCAAAGGCAGUACUCACCAGAUUCACGCUUUUGUUCACUUGCGCCUUUAUGAAUUGAUUCUCCCUGUAAAUAUAUAUGUACCUAUUCUGUUAUGUUGAUCUGCAGAAGCUUCAGUGUUGGUGUGUGGCAGUAAUGAUCAGGACAUUGUUGCUGUUGUAACAGAGCUGUCCCAGUAGGCUGGUUGGAUGUGUUUUGUAAACAUAUGAGGGUAUGGUGUUACACAAAAGUAUUUUAUGUCCAGAGAUAUCCUUGUUCAUUUUAGCUGAGAGUUCUAGACGUCUGCAACUCCUCUGGUUAUAAUAUGUUUGUUCUGUGGUUAUAAUAUGUUUGUUCUGAAUGUAUAGAUAUGCCUCAAUUUCAUGUUGAUUGUUUUAUGUCAGCAAAUUUCAAAUCACCAAAUUAUAUAAAAUUGUACUUAACAUACUCAUAUACAUGUUGUUUUCAUUACGUUUGAUGAUGUCAGAAAUGUCUUUUUUCAACUGAUUGUAUAUUCUUGACUCCCAGUUAAACGCACAAGGUCAGAAAUGUAGGUGCAUCCCCAGAAAGCAAUCCUGAAAGAAAACAAAAGCAUGAAUAAUUUAAUGAAACAUAAUUAUUGUUGAUAUUUCAUUUGUAUGUUGCAAAGUGAUUUGAAGUUUCUGAUAUUUUGAGUACAUCAGUGACAUAAUCUCAAGUGUGUAUUUUUUAUAGAUUAUAGUUUGAUUUUGUUAUUUUUAGAUUCUGUUUAUCAAUGCUAUGUAUCCUCCUGUAUAAUACUCUUGUUGUCCUAGUGCUGUCUGCUAUACGGUUGCUGUAAUGUAUAUAGAGACUUCCUUACCGGGCUUUCAUUGUUGAGCUAUACAUGAUAUUUACAUGGUGGCCAGUUGUAACACUGUAAGCCAGCUACAUGUACUGAUGGGACAGACACUCAAAGCCACAAUCUGGUUUAAUAGAGGAAAUAUGACUUAACAAAGCUGAUUCUUAACAGUAUUUCAAAAAUAAAAGAAAGGUACAGUCGGUUGGCCUUGACAUUGAAGCAAUUUUUUUUUAACCUUAAAAUGAAGAUAUUUCAGAAUAGGAAUAAUCCUCAUUUGACAAAGCAAAGGCUGCUCAUUUUAUUGUAAACAUGUAGCAACAUAUUUGCUUGCUCUCAAUGAAAAACACAUCAGACUCUUUCUAUUGUGACAGUGUUCAUUUAGAUGGAUGUUCAUUGUCCUUGGGGAUUGGCUCAAUAAGAUAGUAUUCUUGUCAUUAAUCAACUCUAGUCAUGAAACAGACUGACUGUUUUGUUUCCAAAAUAACUGAUUGGCUUCAUUUCUGGGUCCUGUUGUAUUUGAGUAUGUCACAAGGCCAACCAGGAUGUAACCAGGAUUAGGCCACAUUACCUGUAAUCAUCUUGUUUCUCAUCACUUUAGAAAAUUACUUGGAAGGAAAGCUGACAUAAUUCAGGCAAAUUGUCAUUUAGUCAUAUCAGUGUGUAAUAGCGAUCUGGACAUUUCACAUUUCAGUUACAACGAUCACCCAUUCUUGCGGUCGUGUACUAAAUAUCAUAAACAGUUACCAAUUUGUGUUGCAAGGUUAUCCCAGCUGUACAUGGAGACAGGCCAGCUUCUAAUUGCAUUUGUUAUUUUUACCAUAAUGGCAGUUCCUGCAAAUUGUGCUACAGCUUCAGCUCAGUUCUAAUCAUAAUCAAUAUGCAAUGACCAGCAGUCUCGUCAGUGUGUGCUACAAGCUUGCUCAUCAUCAUCCACAGUACUCGUGCUAAUGCAGUUUACCAGCCAUUUGUUUCAGUGUUUGCAUGAGACGCCCUACAAAUAUACUGGAUGAUAGGUAUUGAUUUUGGCCCUGACUAUACUAACACUGAUUCUAUAGCAUAGAUAGAAGGAUAUUUAACACCAUUAACUCUGAAUACCAUUAACACCAGGGUAUUCAACACUAGGCAUCAAUAUUAACACAAUCAAGCCUGAUCUGUUUCCAAGAUUUAUGUAUGCCAAGGCAGUAAUCAUGUAAAGCUACCUGUCUUGCAAAUGUUAAGCCUAUAUAUGUUGAUAUCAGUGUUGAUGAAUGUAUUUGCCAGGGUCCUAUGACAGGUACAAACCACACCAAGUUAUAUUGGCGAGCACACACUUUCAAUGUGACGGUCGCCUCAUCAUACCAUCCAUUGAUCUUUACUUUCUUAUGUGUUGUCUAGUCAGUCACCAGGAUGCAAUAGAUUAGUUUAUUUUUGCAGCAGUACUUCAAAUGUGUUAAGCCAGUCAAUCACUAUUUUCUUAAGUAUUUUGUCCAUUCUAAACAGAUUUUAUUGAAAGACCAAAUAAUUUUGUUUUUGUGAAUAACUGGAUUUCUCCAGGAAGAGCUACCUAACAGAUGACGUAGUAAGCAAUACAAAUUUAAAAUCAGGACAACGAUUUUUACUUAUAUUCGGUAAACUACAUCGAAAUAUACACUUAUGUCAUGACAUUUAUUUUGACUUUAUAAAUAAGCUCUUUUCCUAAGGUCUGUGAAGUAUGGACAGACAAAAUGUUUUCAAGAUGUGUAUUUUGCUAUGCAUAUUUUGCUAGUGCCAACAUGUGUUCCUAGCUAAAGGUGUAGAUAGAAUGUUUAUUGUUUUGGUACUAUUUUUGUAUGUCAUCUAGUUUGCUUUGUUGUGUACAUUCCAUUGUUUAAAUUUUUUAUACUUUUCUAUCAGUAAUAGUAUCAGUCAAGCCAAUGCCUGGAUGCAUGUGAUAGAUGAAAUCUAUGUAUUGGAUGCUAUGUUUAUAGACUUUUAAUAGCAUGUUGUCUCUGUGUAGGUGUUGUGUUUUUACACAGAAGUGUAUCUUAGCAACUUGUAUAACACUGGUUAUCAAGUUUACAAUGUGAUAACUAAAGAUUUGUCAAUCCAAACCAGUUCAAUGUUUUGUGUUACAGAUGUUUGUGGUAAAAUGUAAUGAGAUCAGGCAAAAUAAUGUUUAUUUUGUGUCAUGGUUAAUUUCUUUUGAAUUUGUCAGUGAAAAAAAGGUUUUAACAUAAAUAAUAUCCAAAAAUAUUUCAAUCAAAUACACUUUUUUAUAAUUUUUUUAAAGAUUCGAUAGGCUCAUCUAUAACAAACAACAAUUUGGUCUGACCAUUUUAAUAUUUUGUCUUUUACCAUUUUACAACACAGAAAACUGGAAACUAUAGAGUUGGUUCUCAUGAAAAUACUAUAAGUAUUUGGUUCGAAGAUUUAAUCAAUGAUCAGAAAGUGAUGAUUAGAGUCAUCAGGUAUAGAGUUUUUUAAAGACGACAUUUGUAAGAUUAUUUAGCUGCAUUGUCUUAUCCUGAGGUUUAAUGUUCACUUUGAACUUUGACUGAUCAAUAUUAUUCAUCACAUUAUAUGUCUGCAAUAUGUCACAUAACAUGAUAACACUUAUACAGACUGAUUUGAUAAUCUGUGAUCAUAGGCUGAAGUAGUGAUGAUUGUUAGACAUGUGAUAUAGCAGUUAUCACCAGGAUGUUGCGGUACCAUGUGAUACUGGUUUUAUCACCCUGCUGAUCUCUGACUUUGUGUACACUGCUUCCCCAUAGCUCUGCCUUUGUUUUUCUGAUCUGUGUGUUAGAGUACAUCUGUACCUAAUAUUUGUUGAAGCUACAAUAAAUUAAAUUUUAGAUUUUGAUCUAAAUGUAUAAAAAUAGUAGUAGUAGGAGGAGGUUCUAUUUGUUUACUAACUUUUUUAACAAACUGAUCCAGGAAUCUGUCUGCUAUUAUUGUCAACAGAUACAAUUGAAGUAUUGUUAUUAUCAUGUAGUGUAUUUCAUAAAGUAAAGACAUUAGCGAUUGGACAGUGAGUUUUUUGCAUCUGUGGCUGAUUGUAAAGGAUAAAAUGACAUGUGGCAGGCACAAAUGUAAAUCAAAUGAUUUAUUAUGGCCUAAUGUUCGAUGUUGUUUGUCAGAAACACUGAACCCUUUGCAAUCUUGUCUUAUUAGGAAUAAUUUCAUAUUUCUAACACUGAUGGGUCAUGCUUUAGCCAACUGUUUUGUCAGGUAAGACUUGACCAUUUUAGUAUGUUGUGUUGUUUUAAAUAUUAACAGGAUAUUUCCACUUUUCAGAAAUAUCCUUGUUUAAGAUACUUAUGAUCUAUGUGUUUUUACCUCACAGGGUGAAAUGAAAUCUAUUUUAAACUCCUUUUCUAAUUGGCAGUUGCACAUUGUGAUGUAUUCAUGCUUACGUCUUAAGUGUUUUUUGUGCAGUUCACAUCUUUUAAACUUUGCCACAUCCACAGUAAGGAAAUAACAUGUUGCAUUCAAAUAUGAAAUAUCAUUUCUAUGGAAUAAUGGUUGUUAUUUAGCCAGGCCUCAGCGUCAUGUAGAUAGUGCUGCAGGUGUCUGUACACAGAGCAUGAUCUUCCUGGACAAGGAUCUGUACACAGAGCAUGGUCCUCCUGGAUGAGGAUCUGUACACAGAGCAUAGUCCUCCUGGACAAGGAUCUGUACACAGAGCAUGGUCCUCCUGGACAAGGAUCUGUACACAGAGCAUGGUCCUCCUGGACAAGGAUCUGUACACAGAGCAUGGUCCUCCUGGACAAGGAUCUGUACACAGAGCAUGGUCCUCCUGGACAAGGAUCUGUACACAGAGCAUGGUCCUCCUGGACAAGGAUCUGUACACAGAGCAUGGUCCUCCUGGACGAGGAUCUGUACACAGAGCAUGGUCCUCCUGGACAAGGAUCUCCAGCUGUAGUGUGCUGAUCAGGCAGUCACAAUGGCAGCCUGGCAUUGUCAGUAGGUGGAAGGUGCUCUAUGGUUAACUGAUAGUGUCUGGCAAUUUACUAUACAGCCAUGGACCGCUGCUCACUCCUUGGAACCAAACUCAGUUACACAGGCACUGAGUCGGCUCCUUGGAACGGCCAGAGGCUAUGAUGGUUUGUUUGAAUCCCACAUUUGCCUUGAUUAUGUUUCUAGGUUUGUCAGAACCAUCCAUGUUUUAUGGGUUCGAAGAACACAGUGGCUGUAUGGCCUACAUCACUUUGGUUUGUCUGCAACAGGCUGACAUACCUUCAAACUGAUAUACUGUUCAAACUGUAUAAAGCACAACUCACUGUGAGAUUGCUGACUGGUCUAUACAAGCUUCCUCAUUCACAUACAAGUAGUCCACGAGGCUAUAUGUGCCAAAAUACAAGUUAUAGAUCAUUCCUCAUAAUAUGCCUGGCACACCGCUGUAUUUGUGAUAAGGAUGUUGGUGAUAAUAGAGCUCCAUGUGCUGGUAAGUCAACAUAUGUAAAAGUGAUGUCAUACUGAUUGGUUCUUCAAUACAGUCUCCACCUUCUAAUCAGUUUAUUGUGAUGUAAAAUAGUAAUGUGUUUAUUUAUGUGAUGAUUUUAUAAUAUGAUUCAAAGGAAUGUGUCGAAUGAAGAGGCACUUGUCUCAGUGUUGUGACUAUACAACCAGUUUGACUAACACUCAAUAGGAAUUGUGAUAGAGAAACUUUCAUGAUAUUACUUUUGGGAAAUAUACUGCCCACUCUUUCAGUAACAGAACAGAAAUAAAACAGGGAAAGCUUUUUUUGACAGUUUUUGAAGUGGUUCCGAUUCAUAGUUAAAGUUUCAGAACUAAACCAAAAAGCUGAAAACAUGUAUACUAAUUUUGAUUUGAUACAUAUGAAAAUAGACAGUUUUAGUGUUAGGGAGAAUCAAAUUGCUUUCAACAGUAUUUGAACUGUAUUUGAUUUUAUGUCAUUACACAUUAAUAAAAUUGCCAAACCAACAGUUGUCUCCCUUUCUGUAUAAUAAUUGACUCAGGAUUUCAUCACUGAGUCUGCUGUGCCCUAUUAGUUCUGGUUUCUGCAAGCUGGUGAAUACCUUGUUAUUCACACAUAUGCUUUUGCUGUUUUCCACUUUAGAAGAUCACAUUGUUGUACACGUAAGUUUAUUCUGACCUUGUUCUACAUUUACUGUUAUGUAUAGCUAUUUCCCACCAUUGAAGUUUGAUGUUUUAAUAAUUUUCUUGUUCUUUGCAGCAUGAUCUUCUUUUUUUUUAAUGAGAAUGCUCUUUGUACACAUUGAAAGUCAAUGCCUAACAUCAUUAAUAAAGUUUUGUAUAACUA